GACGAACGCUGGCGGCGUGCUUAACACAUGCAAGUCGAACGGUGAAGCGCCUUCCUUUUUGGUGGGUGUGGAUGAGUGGCGAACGGGUGAGUAACACGUGAGUAACCUGCCCCCUUCUUCUGGAUAACCGCAUGAAAGUGUGGCUAAUACGGGAUAUUCUGGGUCUGUCGCAUGAUGGGUCUGGGAAAGAUAUUGUUUCGGUGGGGGAUGGGCUCGCGGCCUAUCAGCUUGUUGGUGGGGUGAUGGCCUACCAAGGCGGUGACGGGUAGCCGGCCUGAGAGGGUGGACGGUCACACUGGGACUGAGACGCGGCCCAGACUCCUACGGGAGGCAGCAGUGGGGAAUAUUGCACAAUGGGCGCAAGCCUGAUGCAGCGACGCCGCGUAAGGGAUGGAGGCCUUCGGGUUGUGAACCUCUUUCGCCAGUGAAGCAGGCCUGCCUCGUUUGUGGGUGGGUUGACGGUAGCUGGAUAAGAAGCGCCGGCUAACUACGUG
rnacentral:rRNA from 1 species